CAAGACAAAAAACAAAGCCCUGGCAUAUGCAGAAAUGUAGCCGUAGCAUGGAAUGUCCAAUACUAUCAUUCAGGGAACUGUUUCUUGCCACUGAAUCCAUGCCUCUUCUUCAGGACUGAACUGCUGCAUACACGAUAAUGUGUGACAUUAAAGUGACCUUGCAAUUGAAAGAAAAGACGAAGCCAUAAAGAUGGAUGGUAGCUAAUAUUCUUCUAGGCACAUCCAUCUCCUUACUAAUACACCGAAAACAUGCCUUGCCUCUCAAAAAUCCAUCAUGUGACUCCGCAAUGAGCAAGAACAAAAGAGGAGAUGAGUAAUGACUGAACUGGACAAAGUCAGCAGAUAGUCAUCUGUGAUUCAGUACAGUUCUGAGUUCUUAUGCAAUCAUCUAUCAUUUCUAAUGUGGAGAGUACAAAGACUAUACAGAUCCUGUCAAUGGGAAAGACUACAGAGCCACUGUCCAUACACUAACAACCUUUGUUUUCAAUCUGCUCAGGUACCAAGGACAGAGGAUGAAGUAAUUCUUAUAAUUUGUGUUCCCUAACAAAACUUCACAUUAUCCAGGGUUGGUUUUUUUAACUGCUCAGAUUGCUUUGCAUAAGUGAUCUGCAUUAAUCUUUAUGGGUCAGCAUUAUUGUCUCUACGCUGCAGAGGAGGCUGAGACAGGGCGAUAAUGAAAUUUAAAACUCCUGGAUCACAGUUUACACUCUUAGUUUUUAUGUUCUGGCACACACACUCAUAUAGACAUACAUGUACAGACACACAGUGUUUCCUGAUUUCCCAGUUAAAGAUCUGUUCUGCAAAUCAAAGUAUAAUAUUUCAUUUAAAUGGAGCCAGUGUACUGCAGGGGUCAAAGUACCAGAACAUGAGAAGAUUGUUAAAACCCCUACUCAGUGGAUGACCUCAACGUAGUCUCUGUCUCACAGCCUAACCUGUCUCACAGAGUGGCUAAAACAAAGAAAGAAAGAAAGAAAGAAA